rfam:Halogranum amylolyticum strain CGMCC 1.10121 genome assembly, contig: Ga0070203_101
AAAUAACUCAGAAUCCUCCUACGGAAGAUAUGAGUAACGGUCGUUUGGCACGGCCAGUAACCUACCUGUUCAACCAAACUUCUGGGUCGUUCCACCCGAGGGAACAGGUGGGUUGCGAACUUUAAUAUCCCAAAGUUCGGGAAUCCUCGCCCUUGAGGGCGGGGU